rnacentral:lncRNA from 1 species
ACUUCUUUUUGCUUGCAAAGUUGGUCGAUAAGUUCUUGAGUAACAUAAACAUCAUUUGGUCGAUUAGUAUGGGAUUCAAGCAAUUGUUCGUAUUGUGGAACAUCAGCGGGCUCAACACCGAGUUCAGACCACAAACCCAAAAUUUCUUCUUCAAAGGAAUUAAUAACCUCUAAUCUCGCAUCAAUCUCCUUUUCGGCUUCGUUGAUGCGUCCUCUCAAAGAUUCAGUAAAAGCAUCGGAUACAUCAGAUAAAAAUGAAUUCUCAAAAUCAGGUAAAACGAACGGACUUCCUAAGCGGUUACAAUAUGACUCCAAUUUGUGAUACAUUUCUAUACAUCAGUUAAAACACAAGUCUAAAUUAAAGACGAUUACAUACCUUUAAUCGUACUUAACUUUUGAUCAUACUGUGCCAUAUAUUGUCCUUCUACCAUUGACAAACGAUUCAAACACUGAAUUAAAGGAGACUCAAUUUUGAGACUAGAAGUAUCAUCCGUUAACUUUAAUGAGGAAACCAAAAAUCUGAUUGAAUCAAUUCUUUGCUGACAGUCAUCUUCAAGUUUUUUCUGGCACUGUUCCAUUUCAUGAAGCUGGGCAUUCAUUGCCGUUGUAAACAACUCAAAUAAUGAUGAAUUGUCUCCAUCUGUUCCAAGGACUUGGUGAAGCCUUUCAAUUUUAGAAAAAUGCUUUUCCACUUGUUCACGAAACGCUUUCCAAGUAAAGUUAGAUUCAUUAUUAGAGUGAUUAUCUUUUUCAGCAAUAGAAUCAGUGCUUUGAAUGUCAUCCAUCAUUACUGUUUGCAUUGAACCGGUUGAUGUAAAUGAGCUCAAUAAAACGAUGUUUGAAAUUCAAUUAAUAGAAUAUAAAGGAAGAUAUGAAAACUGUUAAGAUGUUGAUAUAUUAUAACAUAACAAGCAGUACAAGGAAUUAACCUUGCAUAAAAGCUUGGCACAAAAAUGGUGGUUGGAUAUGGCUUGGCCUGCGAAAGUAACUCAGCAUGCGCUUAUAUUCCAAAGAAAGCAAAUAGAUUUCAAUGUCAGCACUGUAUAAACGUUAUUCAGCUCCUUUUAGUAUAAACAAAAUACUUAGAAUUGUAAGUUGAAGAAUAUUUAUGUGCCUGAAAUAUACCAAUGUAAGGAAGCACAUAAAGUUCUACAAACUGGUAUCUUUUGCUCUACCUAAAAUAUGAUACAAGAAAAUUCAAAUACUGCUUAAAAGGAUACAAAGGCUUACUUUUUAAGUCUUAUCGUAAUCAAUAUAAUUAGACUUAUGCAUACAAAAUAUCAUCUAAGAGAGAAAAGCAUUCAUGAUUUGUUCAAUUCUUUUAUUUGCUCAUAUUCAAAGACAGGAUCUAGGACUAUGGGAGAAUUAUUUUAUGUAAUAUUAACCGCAAUUGGGAUUCAACCCAGUAUCGCGAAACCCAUUUCCUUUAAAAAAAAAAUCAUAUACAACAAAAAGAAACAAUUGUGAGUCGAUUGUCCAUAAAGACAGUAGGGAUAAAAAAGUAUUGGGUGAGAAAAAAAUGAAAAUAAAUAUAACCAGCUUGGAAGAAUGCAAAUGUAUAUAAGUCAUGCGUUAAAUUUUUACAAUUCAACAUGCAAAGGGCUAGUGGAGAAGGUAACGGCAGGCUUUGGGAGGUAAAUUAACUGGGCUCGGCCAGCAGUGUUUGCUGAUAGCUUUCCAGCUCGUCGCAUUUGAGCUUCUAAAACAAAUACUCGGAAAAAAUUAGGAUUUAAUCGAGGACGUCUGAUUUCAGGUUUCACACUUCGCUUUUCCCAGGGUUGAAGCGGGGUGUACAAAGUGAAAUUGGCAUCUGGCGCACAAUCCUCCAUCAACCAAUCAUCCUGAAAAAGCUUGAAAUUUUGACAAAGCAAACCAUUUGUCAGGUUGCUUUCGCCAUGCGAAGAUGAGAGAUUUAAAAUGGAGGCACUUGGAUCCAAAUGCACUUCUGGCUUGUGAAAUACACGUCUGAUGAUAUUACGAGAUAGCGACAUUAUUUUAUGCUGUAAAGAAGCUCGAGACUUAUUUAAAGAUGCUAAAGAUGUUUUUUUGGACAACCUAGAUGAGUAGAAAUUAGAUGAUAAACUAGAGCCACUCCUAUUGCAGGCGGUCAAGUUAGAGGAAGCAUCCUUUGAUUGUUCCAAAAAAGAGGAUUGCUCCUCAAGACUUUUAGAAAGUGGAUGGUUAUGCUCUACGGGCUCCAUAACUAUGAUAUUGUUAGCAACGAUGAAUAAAUAAAAGAUAAGAGAAAAGGUUGAAAAAUCUUAAAAGAACAUACAUUGACCUCUUAAACGAGGAACAGAUUUGGAUUUUUUUAAGUUGUUAAUAUUCAAGUAAAUAUCAAGGCUAUUUGCGUUUACGAGGUUACAAGAGGAAGAGCUGGGAGUUGCAGGAUUUGGCCCCGAAUAGUAAGAGUAAGAAGCGACUGAAGACGUUUCCGAAGCAGAGUAGGAGGAGUAUUCAGGGAAUGAAUUACACGAAAAAUUCCACAAACAGUCGUAAGAAUGAGAGUUGGUAGAAGCAGAACACUCGACAGGUGUAGAAAGAAGAAAGCAGUAAUCACCUCUAUUAACAUCAUCAUUGUGUAAUUUUUUGGACGAAGACAAAAAACGAUCUAAUUGUGAUUUAAGAGUUUUUUUAUUAGAUAGAGUACUCAAGCGAUGUGAAAUUUUUCUAUAACGAUUGGGAACAGGGAUCUUGGUUUCACUCAGCAACUGAAAAACGGCGUCUUGCUUUGAUGCACAAGAAUGGGUAUCCUGAGACUGAUAAAUUAAAUCCAUCUCACUAGCUUGAGAGCUGCAAAGAUUAUGAUCCCAACAUUCGCAUUGACAAGUUACCGGAG